rnacentral:rRNA from 1 species
GACGAACGCUGGCGGCGUGCUUAACACAUGCAAGUCGAACGGAAAGGCCCUGCUUGCAGGGUACUCGAGUGGCGAACGGGUGAGUAACACGUGGGUGAUCUGCCCUGCACUUCGGGAUAAGCCUGGGAAACUGGGUCUAAUACCGGAUAGGAGCCAUUUUUAGUGUGAUGGUUGGAAAGUUUUUUCGGUGUAGGAUGAGCUCGCGGCCUAUCAGCUUGUUGGUGGGGUAAUGGCCUACCAAGGCGGCGACGGGUAGCCGGCCUGAGAGGGUGGACGGCCACAUUGGGACUGAGAGACGGCCCAGACUCCUACGGGAGGCAGCAGUGGGGAAUAUUGCACAAGGGGCGCAAGCCGGAUGCAGCGACGCCGCGUGGGGGAUGACGGCCUUCGGGUUGUAAACUCCUUUCGCUAGGGACGAAGCUUUUUGUGACGGUACCUAGAGAAGAAGCACCGGCUAACUACGUG